CGCAGGCAGGGCAUCUGGUAAGCCGCCUGGCUCAUAAUCACGAAAGACCGGGUUCGAUUCCCGGGCCUGCAA
rnacentral:tRNA from 1 species